GACGAACGCUGGCGGCGUGCUUAACACAUGCAAGUCGAACGACGUGGCGAACGGGAGAGUAAUACGUGGGUAACCUGCCCUCCUUUUUGGAAUAAGCCUACGAAACGGAGUCUAAUACCGAAUUCAGGGGGAUGGGCUUGCGGCCUAUCAGCUUGUUGGUGGGGUGAUGGCUUACCAAGGCGGUGACGGGUAGCCGGCCUGAGGGGGGGACUGGCACCGUGGGGACUGCGAUACGGCCCAGGCUGCUAGGAGGGGGGGCAGUGGGGGAUAUGGCAGAAUGGGCGAAAGCCUGAUGCAGCGGCGCCGAGUGGGGGAUGAGGGCUUUAGGGUCGUAAACCUGUGUCGCUAUCGAACCGGUAGGUGGAGAAGAAGCGCCGGCUAACUACGUGCCAGCAGCCGCGGUAAUUC
rnacentral:rRNA from 1 species